rnacentral:rRNA from 1 species
UGGGGAAUAUUGCGCAAUGGGGGAAACCCUGACGCAGCAACGCCGCGUGAGUGAUGAAGGCCUUCGGGUUGUAAAGCUCUUUCGGUUGGGAAGAAGGGUGUAUUGACUAAUAAUCAAUACAUUUGAUGGUACCAAAAGAAGAAGCACCGGCAAACUUCGUGCCAGCAGCCGCGGUAAUACGAAGGGUGCGAGCGUUGUUCGGAAUUACUGGGCGUAAAGGGUUCGUAGGCGGGAAUGCAAGUCAAGUGUGAAAUCCCCGAGCUUAACUUGGGACGUGCAUUUGAGACUGUGUUUCUUGAGUUUCGGAGAGGGUGGUGGAAUUGCUGGUGUAGGAGUGACAUCCGUAGAGAUCAGCAGGAACACCGGAGGCGAAGGCGACCACCUGGCCGAAUACUGACGC